AGAUAUAGACGCUAUCCUGAUUAUCAUAAGUACCUUGGAGAAGUAUUCAGACACAAAGCUGACGUGCAAGACAUGGAUAUAUCACCCUAUGAUGAAUAUUUAGUUACAGCAUCCAAAGAUCGUUCCGUGGGGGUGGUCAGGUUAGGUUUGCCCAAUCACGGAGGCACGGAAUACAGCGAGCUAACGUGAUUGGACAACUGGACCUCAGUCCCAGCUAGCAGCAUUCCUUCUUUUGUAUAUGUCUGUACAUAACAUUCUAUUUGUGCAUUUGGACUGUGGAGACUCCGUGAAACUUGGGAGGAAAAUUGCAUUGGAUAGAUGGAGAUUUGUUGAUGGAGGCUCAAAGGCUUCAGGACUCGGUACAUCUAUACGAUGGAAAUGCAGGUGAACCGAAAUAAAAUGGAGAAUUGGAUUUCAGUCUUCGCAUUUUGGUUCAAUCCAUCAAGUGAACAAUGAAUCGAUUUGAUCUUCUUGGUCGUUACUGAUUGCAUUCAAACUCAAUGAAUCUGUAAGAUGCUUAAGGUUUAUAUUUCAUGGAAGCUCAAGGCAUCUAAUUGGAUGCGUGAUACAUCAGGGGGGUAUUUCAUUAAGAGUUAACUGUGACUUAGAGCCAUGCUUAAAUGCCAACGUGCACCCUAUACAUGUAAUGUGCAAACUUAUUGAUUAAUACGCAGAAGUGUGCAUCCUCAUAGCAUGAUAGACUAAUGCAUUGAUGCUUAAGUGCAACUCUAAGUCAUACUUAAAUUUUUGUGAAACACUCCCCAGGUUAACAGAUGCUUAUGGUGUUUAUAACUGGGUGGGUGUUUCAUAAAUCUGUUGGUAAGUUACAAACCACUUUAAGCAUGACUCUUGACCCAUUCUCGGGAGGUAAAUCAAUAAUUAUGAAAAAUUUGGGGUGUAUCAUUCACCACAAGAAAGGGUCACCAGUCAGGCGUAGCUUACAGCUUUGUGAAAUGACCCCAGGAUAGUGUCUCAUGAAUUUGUGUUUUAGCCAAUCAGAGGCAUGGAUUUCAGUAGCUUAUAGCACUGAAAAUCACUGACUAUUUGCUUUGUGAAGUGCUCCCCUGAUAUUUCUAUUUCGGGGAUGUCUAAUUAAGAAAGAAUGCAUACAUCAGGGUUAUUUGGAAAAUAGGGUACAUCUAGUUGAUCAAGACUCAUCGUUGCAUCUCAUGGAAUGUUCAUUUCAUUCUUUAAAGCAAGGUUAAUUUCAUCCUUUUCUGGAAUAUCUCUGGGCAUUUCAUUGGAGAAUUGAUGCAUCAUUUUAAUGGAUGCUCUGGGUACCCUAUCUGUGGCUCAUUUAUUUCAGGGAUAUCCAGGCAAUCUCCAGUGAAGGCUUAUACAUGUAUGUUUUAGUGAUGCUCACUCUAUAUCUAGUUAAUUGGAGUGCAUGGCAUCGUAUUUGAAGCUUGAUCAGGGUUCCCACAGUCAUAGAAAAUCCUGGAAAAAUUUGUGGUCAUGGAAAGUCAGAGAAAAGUCAGGGAAUUUUGAAAAUUUGUGAAAAGUUAUGGAAAAGUCAUGGAAUUGCAUUUACCUCUUGGCUAUGGCAGUUUUCCAGUUUGUCGUGUCUCUCAUACUCUGAUCAUACUCUGCUAUUAUAACUGGUGUUCAUGAUUUCCAUUUUUCCAAGUUUUGUGACAUCCCAAAUUCUACAUAACUCCCGGAACGACAUAGGAAGUCAUGGAAAGCAGCAAUUUAGUCAUGGAAAAGUCAUGG